ACGGGGCCCARGUCCUMMCGGAGGCAMCCACUGGGAUCUGGCCAUUGCGAAGGCUAAGCMAGAGCCGCUGAGGGAARAGCCUCGUGUACCUUUUCMAGGGGGAGSGAGCCMCUCGGUAUAGCCAGAGUGACGUACCUCMGAAGAAGCCCGCUACUACKGCCAGCAGCCGSGUAUACGUAAGGRGUCAUGCGUUGUCCGGAUUAUGGRSSUAAGAGCGKGUAGGCGGCCAGAUAGGUCSGAUKUGAAAACUGGAGGCUUAACCUUCCAGACGUCGACCGAAACCCUCCUGGCUAGAGUCCGGAAGAGGAGAGUGGAAUUCCCUGGUGUAGCGGUGAAAUGCGCAGAUAUCAGGAAGAACACCCGUGGCGAAAGCGGCUCUCUGGGACGGUACUGACGCUGAGACGCGAAAGCGUGGGGAGCGAACAGGAUUAGAUACCCUGGUAGUCCACGCCGUAAACGAUGGGUGCUAGGUGUGGGAGGUGUCGACUCCUCCCGUGCCGCAGCUAACGCAUUAAGCACCCCGCCUGGGGAGUACGGCCGCAAGGCUAAAACUCAAAGGAAUAGACGGGGACCCGCACAAGUGGUGGAGCAUGUGGUUUAAUUCGAAGAUACGCGAAAAACCUUACCUGGCCUUGACAUUGAUAGAAUCUGCUAGAGAUAGCGGAGUGCCCUUCGGGGAGCUUGAAAACAGGUGCUGCACGGCUGUCGUCAGCUCGUGUCGUGAGAUGUUGGGUUAAGUCCCGCAACGAGCGCAACCCUCGUCCUUAGUUGCCAGCAGGUUAAGCUGGGCACUCUAGGGAGACUGCCUUCGUAAGGAGGAGGAAGGUGAGGACGACGUCAAGUCAUCAUGGCCCUUAUGGCCAGGGCUACACACGUGSUACAAUGGGGCGUACAGAGAGUUGCAAUACCGCGAGGUGGAGCCAAUCUCACAAAGCGUCUCUCAGUUCGGAUUGAAGUYUGCAACUCGACCUCAUGAAGCUGGAAUCACUAGUAAUCGUAGAUCAGCAUUGCUACGGUGAAUACGUUCCCGGGUCUUGUACUCACCGCCCGUCACACCAUGGGAGUUGAUUUCACCCGAAAUUGGGAAGCUAACCUUCGGGAGGCUACCAYWUACGSUGGAAUUAGCGACUGGGGUGAAGUCGUAACAAGGUAACCGU
rnacentral:rRNA from 1 species